rnacentral:misc_RNA from 1 species
AACAAGGCGUACCUGCGGACCUGCGGAGGGAUCAUCAAAGAAAUUUAUUAUUUGAACAGAGGAGAGAUUGGACUUGACUUCUUUUUUGUUUCUGGAGAAAAAAAAAGGGAGGAGAGGGAUGAAAACUCUGCAUUUCAUUUCUCAAAUCUUUUUCGAAAGAGACAGAGGGGAAGGGAGGGGUAAGAUCUCUCUUCUGGACAAACAACCAAUUUACAUGACUAGGAAAACAAACAGGAUGGU